rnacentral:lncRNA from 1 species
AGUGUAGAGUUGAAGCCGAAAGAGACAAAACGGAAGGUUAUUUCCAAAGAAAAGGGACCUCCACCCCCCUCCCCAGUGACAAAACGGAAGGGUAUUUCAAAAGAAGAAAGAAAGCCACCAGUGACAAAACGGAAGGAUAUUUCAAGAGGAGAAAGAACGCCCCCAACAUCAACUCGGCCAGCGAAGAAGUCAACACCAAAGAGAACCACAAAAGCUGUGGAUGUUCCAAGGAAGAAGGUAAAACCGAGCAUGCAUGGAAGGCUGACCGUAGACCAGA